rnacentral:rRNA from 1 species
CCUUACCAGGUCUUGACAUCCGAUGCUAUUUCUAGAGAUAGAAAGUUACUUCGGUACAUCGGUGACAGGUGGUGCAUGGUUGUCGUCAGCUCGUGUCGUGAGAUGUUGGGUUAAGUCCCGCAACGAGCGCAACCCCUAUUGUUAGUUGCCAUCAUUCAGUUGGGCACUCUAGCGAGACUGCCGGUAAUAAACCGGAGGAAGUGGGGAUGACGUCAAAUCAUCAUGCCCCUUAUGACCUGGGCUACACACGUGCUACAAUGGUUGGUACAACGAGUUGCGAGUCGGUGACGGCGAGCUAAUCUCUUAAAGCCAAUCUCAGUUCGGAUUGUAGGCUGCAACUCGCCUACAUGAAGUCGGAAUCGCUAGUAAUCGCGGAUCAGCACGCCGCGGUGAAUACGUUCCCGGGCCUU